UGAAAAACAUUGAAGGAAACUAGUAAUAUGAUCUUUUAGUUUCAGAGAGAGUUGUAGCUGCUGCGAGCAAUUCCUAAGAGACAUACGAAUUUCAUUUCUGGAGUUGCAAUCGGGAUUUGAAUUUUAAUGAAUGAUUUGCCGGGAGACCGUUAUCUACUUGAGUGUUGGAAUGUAAGAACAUUUCAAAAUUAGGGUGGUAACGCGUGCCUCGUCCCUUUA
rnacentral:ncRNA from 1 species